UUUCCUACGGGGGGCAGCAGUGAGGAAUAUUGGUCAAUGGCCGAGAGGCUGAACCAGCCAAGUCGCGUGAGGGAUGACGGCCCUACGGGUUGUAAACCUCUUUUGUCGGAGAACAAAACCCGGGACGAGUCCCGGACUGCGUGUAUCCGAAGAAAAAGCAUCGGCUAACUCCGUGCCAGCAGCCGCGGUAAUACGGAGGAUGCGAGCGUUAUCCGGAUUUAUUGGGUUUAAAGGGUGCGUAGGCGGUCCGUUAAGUCAGCGGUAAAAUUGCGGGGCUCAACCCCGUCGAGCCGUUGAAACUGGCA
rnacentral:rRNA from 1 species